CAGCCUCCCAAAGUGCUGGGAUUCCAGGCCACUGUGCCUGGCCGAAACCUUUAAUUGAACAGGCUGCCUCAAGUGUGGGGCUAGAAAGCAGGAGCUUGGGGUCUGGUCCUGCUCCCCCACCCUCUUGGACCUGUCACUGCCUCUCCCUGGUCCUCCUUGUGAAUGGGACACACAGCAGGAGGAGAGGCUCCCACAAGGCAAGGUUCAUGAGCCACAAGACUCUGUGAAGUCCAGCAUCCUCACUGGAGUGGACAACAGAUUUGGCUAUAAGCUUCCUGGCAGCCACUGGGAAGAAAGAAACUAUCACACACUUUUUCUUUAAGGCUAACUGGCUUCUCAGGAAAUCCUUCCCUCUUCCUCACAGAAAAACCACAGAAAUUUCUCCUGUACAUUCUCAUAGAACAAUGAUGUGCCAGGAAUGGCAGCUAUUACAGGAGACAGCAACAGCACACGGCGGCAACCUCACGGACAGAGAGCAGGCACAGUCUGAGCCCUGAGGUCACCCUCAGUCCCCUACUUGGACACAGUGGCUGUGAUCCUGAAGACACCCUCUUAAGACACAGAACAUGCCCUGUACGUGACUGCUGUUUAUGAGACUGGUGACCAAGAGGGUAAGAGGCCCCACCUGUGCCAGGGGCCCUGGACAGGCAGAGAUUUUGUCUUCAGCUUCAAAAACAGACGUCCCAGCCAGCUUCCCUGCUGGAACUUUGAUCACUGAUGUUUCAGAACCAGACAUCAUGAACAUCCACAUCCCCAAGUAAAUAAGUGACAGGCCUGUUAUUAAUAAUUCUCUAUUUAUUAAAAA